rnacentral:rRNA from 1 species
AUGGUGCGUGUGGCUGCAGGCCAUCUUCUUCAUCUCCCCUCCCGUCCCCUCAUUGGUUCGUUUUAUGUGCAGGGCAGGCUGCUGCUGCUGGAGGCGCACGUCGCCUGCCUCCGCGUCGCCACCCCCGUCGACCAGCCCCCCCGCAUCGACGCAGAUCGCCGCGCGCGCCCCGCCGCCCGUGCCCCCGCCGCCGCGCCCGCCGGCGACGAGGAGCUCGACCUCUUCAUGACACACUAUGUGCUGCUCCUCUGUUCCUUCAAGGAACAGCUCCAGCAGCAUGUGCGCGUCCACGCCAUGGAGGCGGUGAUGGCCUGCUGGGAGCUCGAGCAAACUCUGCAGAGUCUUACAGGGGCAUCUCCUGGUGAAGGCACCGGGGCAACUAUGUCCGAUGACGAAGACAAUCCGGUCGACAGUGAGAGCAACAUGUUUGACGGGAAUGAUGUGUCAGAUGGCAUGGGCUUCGGAAUGCUAACCGAGGGUGAGAGAUCCUUGGUCGAGCGCAUGAGGCAAGAGCUGAAGCAUGAGCUUAAACAGAAUUAUUUUCCUGACUUUGCAGGGGUAUAGAGAAAACUGCGGAAGCGAAGAGCCGGAAAGCUCCCAGGGGACACGGCGUCUACCCUGAAAGCUUGGUGGCAAGCCCACGCCAAAUGGCCGUACCCAACUGAGGAGGACAAGGCGCGGCUGGUGCAGGAGACGGGGCUGCAGCUGAAGCAGAUCAACAACUGGUUCAUCAACCAGCGCAAGCGGAACUGGCACAGCAACCCUACCUCGUCCUCGUCAGACAAGAGCAAGAGAAAAAGGUACGGCGAUCGGCCCAAAAACAAUCCUUUCAUCACAUGCUUGAAAUCGCUCAGGUUUUCAUUCCCUCUCUUUCAUUCAAAAAAAAGGAACAAUGCAGGUGAGGGCAACGCCGAGCAGUCCUGGUAG